CCUACGGGGGGCAGCAGUGGGGAAUAUUGCGCAAUGGGCGAAAGCCUGACGCAGCGACGCCGCGUGAGGGAUGAAGGUCUUCUGAUCGUAAACCUCUGUCAGCAGGGAAGAAAGCUCAGUUUGCUAUUCAUCACUGAAUUUACGGUACCUGCAAAGGAAGCACCGGCUAACUCCGUGCCAGCAGCCGCGGUAAUACGGAGGGUGCGAGCGUUAAUCGGAUUUACUGGGCGUAAAGCGCUCGUAGGCGGUAUGUCAAGUUAGGGGUGAAAUCCCCGGGCUCAACGUGGGAACUGCCUUUGAAACUGGCAGGCUGGAGUGUGGGAGAGGGUGGUGGAAUGCAAGGUGUAGGAGUGAAAUGCGUAGAUAUCUGGAAGAACACCAGUGGCGAAGGCGACUAACUGGGCUAUAACUGACGCUGAGGAGCGAAAGCGUGGGUAGCAAACAGGAUUAGAUACCCUGGUAGUC
rnacentral:rRNA from 1 species